CCUACGGGAGGCAGCAGUGGGGAAUUUUCCGCAAUGGGCGAAAGCCUGACGGAGCAACGCCGCGUGAGGGAUGAAGGCCUCUGGGCUGUAAACCUCUUUUAUCAAGGAAGAAGAUCUGACGGUACUUGAUGAAUAAGCCACGGCUAAUUCCGUGCCAGCAGCCGCGGUAAU
rnacentral:rRNA from 4 species